ACAUGGGGCUGAAUACUGUUGGGUGAGGAGCUCCUCUGUACUUCCCACCACUUCCUGGAGAACUGCCUGGCUCAGCAGUCACCCUGUGACU
rnacentral:miRNA from 1 species